GUUGUGCCUUGCUGUUAAAUGAAAUUAACAUUUAUAUUCUUUUGAUCCAUACGGUCUGUAUAUACAAAAUCUUGCAAAGUACAAUAUUUAAGACACUCAACAGUGUAUGUGCUUAGAAGUCAUUAUCUGAAUCCGAAAAUAUUUGGGUUCAAACAUCAUCUCCCAUGGUUAUUCUUAUACGUUUAAGUCUUAUAAAUCGAACCAUAACCAUAAGGAUUACAAUUGCAUUGAGUGGUUAAAAAUUCAAAAUAGUGAUAGUAAAAUAAGAUACCAUUAUUUGCUAGCUCUGAUGUAUAACAGAAGGCCUCUGUUUUGAAUCAAAGAACAAUUUUGAAACAAACUUUAUGUGCAGUUAUCCUUGAACUAAAGAAGAAUUAUAAAUAAAUUCUUACUUUCAAUAUCGUAAUAGACGAAUUUUAAUUUUCAUUUGGUUUAUACAGUUGAGCUCUUAUCAUGGAACCGUUGCCAACUGAUGUUGUGAAGGAUUUACAAAAGAAAUGUAUGGACAAUGUAGCAAAUGAAACAGUUGGAACCAACGAGCAGACAUUAGCUCAUGUUAAUUCUAUUGCCAUAAAUAGAAAGAUUGCAACACUGGAAAGUGACUAUCUCCGCACAAAAAAAUUUAAAGUCUUACAAUUAAUAAAGAAACAUGCAAUAAAUCCAGAAAUUGAGCUUUAAUAACAGAUUAAUUUCGUCACUAACCUAACAAAAAAAAAAACACAAUGUUACUAAAUUUGUUAUUAUUGUUGUAGAAGUUAUUAAUUUUGCAGAACUUAAUAGACACUUUAUACAUUACACAUCGGGUCCCUG